rnacentral:rRNA from 1 species
AGAGAGAGACAUGCGCGCAUAUCAAUAAGCGGAGGAAAAGAAACUAACAAGGAUUCCCCUAGUAACGGCGAGUGAAGCGGGAAGAGCUCAAAUUUGAAAUCUUAAAGGGUUUCCCUUUACGAAUUGUAGUUUAAAGAAGUGUUUUCUGUUGAGGUUUUGGUAAAAGUUCUUUGGAAUAGGACAUCAUAGAGGGUGAGAAUCCCGUAUUUGACCUUUACUUUCAACUUUGUGAUACACUUUCAAAGAGUCGGAUUGUUUGGGAAUGCAGUCCAAAAUGGGUGGUAAAUUUCAUCUAAAGCUAAAUAUUGGCGAGAGACCGAUAGCGAACAAGUACCGUGAGGGAAAGAUGAAAAGAACUUUGAAAAGAGAGUUAAACAGUACGUGAAAUUGUCAAAAGGGAAGCGUUUGACACCAGUGUUGUUUUUCUGAAAAUCAAUUAAAGAACUGUUUAUGCUAAGCUGUUUAGACUUUAUCAGCUAUCUGUUUAGUUUUGAGCUUUUCUUUAAUGCACUUUUCAGUUAACAAGUCAACAUCAAUUUCUUUUGCUGCUAAAAAAGCUUGAGGAAGGUGGCUUGAGAUUCGUCCUUAAGUGUUUAUAGCCUCUUGCCUAUGCAGUCGGAGAGAUUGAGGUCUGCAGCGUAGAUCCUUCGGGGCUAAAUGCAUUUGUGCUAAGUUAUAGCAUUUUAUAGACAACUUGUUGACUAUGAUUUGUCUUGUAGCUUACUCGCUUAUGUUAUUUUACCUACGCUUAGGAUGUUGACGCAUGAGAUAUACGC